rnacentral:rRNA from 1 species
ACAACUUUCAACAACGGAUCUCUUGGCUCUCGCAUCGAUGAAGAACGCAGCGAAAUGCGAUAAGUAAUGUGAAUUGCAGAAUUCAGUGAAUCAUCGAAUCUUUGAACGCACCUUGCGCUCCUUGGUAUUCUGAGGAGCAUGCCUGUUUGAGUGUCAUUAA